rnacentral:ncRNA from 1 species
ACAGGUGCCAUCUACGAUGGCCGAAGAGAAAAGCCGGUAAAAGCCGGCGCGGUCCCGCCGCGGUGAGGGGAGCAAACCUGCAAAUAAGGCACUGGAUGAAAAUCUGGGAAGGCGCAGGCUAGUGAUGAACCGAGCCAUAAGAACUGCCUGUCCGA